CCUGAAAUCACGCAAAUGAUUUCCUUCUAUGCAUCAUAUCCUGCCUCCUGCCGCUUCUAAACUCAAACACACGAACAAAAAGCCUCAACGUGGAUCAUCUAGAAAACUGUCGGCGCUACAAUCAGGGCCCCAGGUGCCGUUCUUGGGAGCGGCUCGCCACCCGGCGCUCCUCCACCUACCCUCUCCUUAAGCGCGGAGUCUGCGACUGUUGGGCCGUGCGGAAGUGCGGGUGACGCAGCUCGAGGCGGUCGGGGAUGCGGGAUCCAGGUGUCGGCGGCGCAUCUCGCCGGGUCAAUGGAAGGCGAUGGCGGCGACGGCGAGGCGACACGGAGGAGCUCGUGGAGGACGCCGGCACUUCUGUCGCUGCUGGGAAUAGGCGGAGGCGACCGGAUCUGGGGCGGCGGCGGCGGGUGCAGACGACUUCGGUGGCGGCGUGAUGCCUCAUGUACGGCUGCACCGGUGGUUAGAGAAUGAAGGAGGAGGAGAGAAAAGAAAAGAGGGAAGCGUGGUGGCAUGGCUCAUCGUUUUGGUCGCCGCCGGGGAGGAAGACCCGUGUUUUACAUUCGACGGAUUGCGAGGCCCAAGAAGUUUCAAUGAAAGGAGGAGGUAGCGUUCGUGCAUAUCACCAGAACCAUAAAGUUCACAGGAUAUAUAAGUGUAACAUAUCCAUUACAGUCGGGAGCACAAGCUUUUCAUGCUGGGACAAAACAACGAUGAAGCCCCAUGCUUUUCUAACCCAGUGACCGCUUCUGGCCUCGCUAAGGUGACGGGGGAUAAAUCAUCCAUGUGUGUCAUCAAGGCUUAACUGUACUAGAGAUGAUGCGAGCGAGCUCCUUGAUCCCUUAUGAAGUUACAAUUAUAUCUCACAAGUCUUGGCAUUUGUUGGCCUUGCUCAACCGAAGUCUUCUCUGACAUUGUGUGUGUCUUAAUUGAGGCCCAACAUUUGUUACGCUCACAGCUACUUCCUUUGCACCUUUCAUGUUGCAUGCGAUUAACCUGAAGAUCUCCAUGUACACUCUAUGGCAUGGUUUGCAAGAACUCAUCUUGCAGUUAUAUUUAAGCUUGUUCCAUAUUCAUUUUUAAAUUCAGAAUUGUCACAUUCAGAUUUUUUUUGUUAAUGAUGAGAUAUUUAGCCAUAGUCAAUACAUAAGAAAACAUGUCUUGAUUUUUCUCUUGAAUGGUACCUGCAAGUUUGUCAAUUGUUUAGUGAAGCUUUCCUUCAAAAGAAUUCUAAAUACUACAGGAAGGAGAGUAAGACAAUGACAGUUCACUGGAAUAUGUAUUUUGAGAGGACAUAUAUGUGUUUACCUCUCUGUAAUUACAUAUUACUUUCCUUGCUGAUGCUAUUGCUCAGGUUAAGCUAUUGCUAUCCAUUUUUUCAGGUUGAAUCAGUUCCGAGCACAGGUCAGCUAAAUGGAGUUUCUAUGUUUUCUCUGUACUGGUGAUCAUGUGUUCGACCUAAUGCCUAUCUACGGUCUUGGGCGGACCUGUCAUAGGUUAUGCUGGACAUCGACAAGUGUUCUUUAGCACACCUUAAAUAAAACAGUUUUCUUUUCCUUUUUAGUUUGAUUGAGUCACUUAGAUGUGCAAUAACUAGUACACAUCUAGAUGUGCCCUAGACAGGCCCUAAAAGAAAAUCAAGUUUGAUAAGAAUGGUUUUCUUUAAAAAAAUCUGUUCAUUUGUGGCUAUGAAGCUUAAGAAGGUUGACUGAAGGUACUCAAA